CUUUUCAAGACUUCAGCUUCA
rnacentral:miRNA from 1 species